rnacentral:rRNA from 1 species
GACGAACGCUGGCGGCGUGCUUAACACAUGCAAGUCGAACGGAAAGGCCCUGCUUUUGUGGGGUGCUCGAGUGGCGAACGGGUGAGUAACACGUGAGUAACCUGCCCUUGACUUUGGGAUAACUUCAGGAAACUGGGGCUAAUACCGGAUAGGAGCUCCUGCUGCAUGGUGGGGGUUGGAAAGUUUCGGCGGUUGGGGAUGGACUCGCGGCUUAUCAGCUUGUUGGUGGGGUAGUGGCUUACCAAGGCUUUGACGGGUAGCCGGCCUGAGAGGGUGACCGGCCACAUUGGGACUGAGAUACGGCCCAGACUCCUACGGGAGGCAGCAGUGGGGAAUAGUGCACAAUGGGCGGAAGCCUGAUGCAGCAACGCCGCGUGCGGGAUGACGGCCUUCGGGUUGUAAACCGCUUUCGCCUGUGACGAAGCGUGAGUGACGGUAAUGGGUAAAGAAGCACCGGCUAACUACGUA